UAGAAGCGUAGUCGGAGGUUCGAAACGUUUGAAACGUUUAUACGCGCCAGCACUUGUUCUAUUAUUAUGAUUCACACUGCGCACGAUCGCCGGUGUUAAAUGGCCAUGCUCGUGAACCCUUACAGCGGUCAAUUAGUCGCCGUGCAUUAACCGGCUCACGUUGUCCGGCACUUUCGAGCGGAAGGUAAUUAAGCUGAUUACCAGCGGGAAUCUUUCGCGUACGUCUGUCGCUCUCUGCAUUCCAUCAUCAUCGUGUACAAGGGCUUCCUACCGCUUCCUGUACAAGCGGUCUCAACAUCUUCUGAAUCUCCCUCAACGAUAUAAUCUUCCAACGAAGGGAGGGGACGAAACGAAAACGAAGAAGAGAGAGAGAGAGAAAAGACGAAUACGGACGAAAUCCAGGAAUAAACGCGGGGAGAAAAUCGAUCAGGGCGGAAAUACCGAACGCAGACGGUUUAAGGAUGAAAAGGAAAAGGGGUUGGUCCGCGAGCGAGGCCUUGGAGCGAAGCAGAGCGAAACGCGGUUACAGAAGUAGAACGAAGGACAUGCAUCACAUCGAGUGGGGGCGUUCGAGGCGGGGGUUGGAAACGGGUCGUCGAGGGACGAGCGGCACAGGACCGGUGGAAAUGGAAGAAGCCCCGAGGACGACGAUGGCGUGUGCCGCCUCGUCGCCUCUCUAAUGCAACACGACGCGAUACCGGCGCGGACUCGUGCUUCUGCUCGAGGUUGAAAAAAACUGGGAGGUGGUUCCUCGACACGAUCUCAAAUUCACCGAAUUUUUCUCUGAACAUUCUCGAAGAUCGACUAUAUUUAAAGACAGUCCCUGGAAUUAUUUUUAUUCACUAAAUAUAUGUAUGACAAUUAAAUGUAGAAUGGCGAGGUACGAAAGAGUUAAAGUUCGAGGAGAUGUUGCAAAAUCGGAUCGAAACUUGAUUUGAACUCGAGACCACGAAAUACUAUAUAUAUAUAGUGAAAAUUCGUCGUGUCGAGGUUCACCGUCUUGUCUUUGUCCGCGGUUCAAAGGUUGGCAGAUAGAUGAAAAACCAAUAUAUGGAACUGAUGUUCUACUAUUCGAGUCCAAACCUCGCGAUUCGAAAAGAAAUCUAUAAUUCUACUUAUCGAUUGAUAAAAUCCAAUUGCUGACGAUUUUAUUGAGGUUAAUAGGGGUUUGUGUCAAAUGUGAUAUAAAAUCAAUUGUUGCAAUUCUAUUGUUCAUAUAGGGUUAUUAAUUAUAAGAAUAUUAACUUUUUUAAAAUUAAGUUUAAUUGGUGGAUAUGUAAUAAUAAUUGCUCAUGGAUUAAGUUCUUCUGGUUUAUUUAUUUUUUUUUUUUUAGUUAAUUCAAUUCAUAGACAAACAAAAAUAGUCGAUUAAUUAAUAAAGGAAUGAUUAAUUUUAUACCUUCAGUAGCUUUACUAUGUUACGUUCAUCUAACAUAGGAUCACCAGUUUCGUUAAAUUUAGUAAGAGAGGUUUUAUUAAUAAUUGGUUUAAUAAUUCUUCAUUUAAAUAUACGCUUAUUAUUUUAGUUUCACGAUAAAAAUUCCUAGAUAAAACCGUAUGCGUCGCCAUUAACCCUUCAUACCGAUCCAAAGAUCAAUCGUUUUCCAUGACAAAAAAUUCCAUAAAUUCAUUUUCCAGCCUACGUCAUUGUCGACCCUUUUCCACAAUCAUCGCCCAAAAUCCUCGUACAGGCGUGCCUCCUCGACUUUGAAUUACGCGCUAUGAAACGCACACCGACUCGCAGGAAAACAUUGCACUCUUCCAUGAGUAUCGUGUUUCCACGAGGAGUACACGAAGGAGGAGGACGCGAGAAGGACGAGGAGGAAACGCGAGAGGAUAAAGGCGAGGGGAGGGGUGGUUAUAUUGCGGACCCUCUGUGGAAGAGGGGCGAGGCGGGGGAGCAAAGAAUUAUACUACGUGCCUGGAGUGUCAAGUCGCGGGGGUGGUUUAUGGUGGAACCGUAGAUGCGAGCCAGCCGUUCGAGGUCGCGAGCAUCCGCCGAUUGCUCCAUCUCUCUCGCGCCUUCCACGGUUUGUUAAUGGCUCCUCUACCCCCCCUUUGAAUACAUCGCUUCAUUUUCCCCGAUUUGUUAACAAAGAUUGUCCAAAAAGAGGGUUUUGAAGUAGAGUUCACUUUUAUUGUGAAUUUAAGCUUUAUUCUUAAAAUAGGCUUCCGCUCCUUCUUUGGAAUUUUCCAAAAAAAGUGGAAGGAACAGUGAUCGAACACGUCAGGUAGGCGUCGCGUGUUCGUUUGCUAAUUAAAAUUCGAUUUUAAUCGAAGUGUUUUUUUUUCUUCUUUUCGCGAAUAAUAAAGCGAAAGGGGUGGGGCAGGAUCUAUAAUAGAUCGAGGUAACCUUGUGACGUGUUCGAUUUUGCAGAAGGAGUGCAGAAAUACCGCGUCCUCGCGAGGGAAAGAAAAACAAUGGAGGAGCGAGCGCGGAGGGGCCCGCGUUGGAAAAGGUAAACUGAAAACUAAACUUGAAAAGCUAUUGGCUGUAUAGCCUCUCAAACACGGCUUCGGGAUCGGUGUCAAGUACCGUGGACAAAUAUUUACAGGCUACGUUUGCCCUAAUCUUUGAACCUUUUAAAUCGCCGUUCGGGAAGGACGUCGCCUUAUGGGAGAAGAACAAAGAUUCCUCCUCGACAGCAAUGCAAAAUCCUUAAACUCUCUCUCUUUUUUUUCGCACCAUUUUGAAACUGUCCACACCAUUUAUAAAUCCAUUAUAAUAUAUUCUUCUCCAGUUCGUUUUUCGUUCUACCAGAAUUGAUAAGAAUAAUCACUUACUCCUCGACUUCUUUCUCAUAAUUCUUAUAUCACCCUGCCAAUUAAACUUCCUCCUUCCUCACCGAUCUUAAUGAGCUUGAAACGGGAUAACGGAUCAUUCUUUGAAAGGAAAAGAAAUUUCGAAAUUUCGCCAAUAUUUUUCUUCGAAUAUUUUUACUUUUUAAUGCCGAGGAAAUUCGGAUUGAAGGGCACACGAUUCCACGUAGCAAGCGUAUUAAAAUGAAAACCGAUAACCUUUCUUUCGAAAAAAAAGUAUUAUUCGACAAUCGGAGGAGAUACAACUUUGCCUGCCUUCGAACUUUCGAACAAUCCCUUCAAACAACGUCUUCACUCCUGAUCAAUAUUCUCAUUCGCAUUCCUCGAGACCCAAGAUUACGCCUAGAUUAGCUAAUUGGCAAAAAGGGACCCGGGGGUAAAUUAACCGCCUAAGCUUAUCGCGAUGGAAUGGAAUACACCGUGGAGAUAGUAGACGGAGAGAGAGAGAGAGAAACACCGUCACGUUUGAUCGAAACGUUUCGGAACCCCGUUCUAUUUUCAGCAAAAACACGAAUCGUAAGCAAAGGGAGGAAACAGAGAAAGAGAGAGAGAGAGAAGAGAAGAAAAAGAA
rnacentral:lncRNA from 1 species